rnacentral:rRNA from 1 species
CAGUAGCCGCGGUAAAACAGAGGGUGCGAGCGUUAAUCGGAUUUACUGGGCGUAAAGCGUGCGUAGGCGGCUUCUUAAGUCGAAUGUGAAAUCCCUGAGCUUAACUUAGGAAUUGCAUUCGAUACUGGGAAGCUAGAGUAUGGGAGAGGAUGGUAGAAUUCCAGGUGUAGCGGUGAAAUGCGUAGAGAUCUGGAGGAAUACCGAUGGCGAAGGCAGCCAUCUGGCCUAAUACUGACGCUGAGGUACGAAAGCAUGGGGAGCAAACAGGAUUAGAUACCCGAGUAGUCCCUGUCUCUUAUAC